rnacentral:rRNA from 1 species
UACGGAGGAUGCGAGCGUUAUUCGGAUUUAUUGGGUUUAAAGGGUGCGUAGGCGGUCCGGAAAGUCAGCGGUAAAAGCCCGGGGCUCAACCCCGGCGAGCCGUUGAAACUGUCGGACUAGAGACGGCGAGAAGUACGCGGAAUGCGCGGUGUAGCGGUGAAAUGCAUAGAUAUCACGCAGAACCCCGAUUGCGAAGGCAGCCUUCCGGCGCCCUACUGACGCUGAGGCACGAAAGUGCGGGGAUCGAACAGG